rnacentral:rRNA from 1 species
ACAUUUUUUUAAGAUUUUUAUUUAAAAUAGUUCCUGCCCUAUGAUAGUAAAAUUUAAAUGGCUGCAGUAUUCUGACUGUGCAAAGGUAGCAUAAUAAUUAGUUUCUUAAUUAGGGACUUGUAUGAAUGGAUUAAUGAGAAAUUUAUUUUAUUAUAAUUAUUAUUAUAAUUUAAAUUUUGAGUUAAAAUGCUCAAUUAUAUUAUUGGGACGAUAAGACCCUGUAGAACUUUAAGAUAUUAUUUAUUUCUUUUAUAUUUUAGAUUUUAUUAUUGAAAUAUUUGUUUUCUUUUUGCUGGGGUGGUGAAUAAAAGUUUAACUUUAUUUAAUUUAGUCAUUAAUUUAUGUUUAUCUGAUCCAUUAAGUAAUGAUUAUAAGAUUAAGUUACCUCAGGGAUAACAGCGUAAUUUUAAUGGAAAGUUCAUAUUUAUAUUAAAGUUUGCGACCUCGAUGUUGAAUUAAGAUUAAAUUAAGGGGUAGGUUCUUUAAUUAUAGGUCUGUUCGACCUUUAAAUUCUUACAUGAUCUG